GAUACUCUUUAGUCAUGCCGAACUGAUACUCUUUCUUGGGCUUCACUGCUGUUGGGCUUGUUUAGUACGUACUCCAUCAGCAACAUUGUCCGAAUCACGCCUCCACUAUCCCAAUAUAGUAGGGCAAGAUUGGUUGCAGGAUCGUUUCAGGGCCGGACCGGUCAUGUGGAUGGAAAACCAAGCGAUGCUCGUUUCAGCCAUCUCAAGGGGGUCACCAUGGAUGAUAAAGGGAAUGUUUAUGUUGCAGAUACUUCGAAUCUCGCCAUUAGAAAGAUUGGAGAAGCAGGUGUGACGACUAUUGCUGGAGGAAAAUCGAAUGUUGCAGGAUACAGGGAUGGGCAUAGUGAAUAUGCCAAGUUCUGAUGUCGUAUAUGUGAGGCCUACCUGUUCGUUGUUAGUGGUUGACAGAGGAAAUGCAGCUCUUCGUCAACCUUGAGUAAAGAGGAUUGUGAUUAUGAAAUCACCUCUUUUUCACCUAUAGGUGUAUAGACUGUUUCGG